rnacentral:rRNA from 1 species
CAGUAGCCGCGGUAAUACAGAGGGUGCGAGCGUUAAUCGGAUUUACUGGGCGUAAAGCGUGCGUAGGCGGCUUUUUAAGUCUGAUGUGAAAUCCCUGAGCUUAACUUAGGAAUUGCAUUCGAUACUGGGAAGCUAGAGUAUGGGAGAGGAUGGUAGAAUUCCAGGUGUAGCGGUGAAAUGCGUAGAGAUCUGGAGGAAUACCGAUGGCGAAGGCAGCCAUCUGGCCUAAUACUGACGCUGAGGUACGAAAGCAUGGGGAGCAAACAGGAUUAGAUACCCCCGUAGUCCCUGUCUCUUAUAC